AUGCUGCUGUCGGCCUUCAUCUCCCUCUGUGAAGGUUUCUUGGGGCUGCUCCCCACGCUGGAGCUCUGGGGGGAGUUCUUCCAGAACAAACUCGGCACCGUCGUCGCCGGCGUGCCCGCCCCCUGCGGGGCCUUCAUCGCCAUGAGGAGGGCGGGAGAGAACAACCCGUUCCCGCCCAUCCCCCUGAUCCAGUCGGUGAAGAUCUGGCAGAAGUCAUACUUCUACGUGAAGAACGUCGCCGAGCAAGGAGACCACGUCAACCUGCCGGCUUACGUAGCCGGCCCGCCGGCUGGGAGGCAGCCCUCAUGGAGUUUCUGGUCCCGGUCACUGUCUCAGGCCGGGAAUGCUGCCGUCUCCCGGCUUCGGGUGAUGAUCCAGUCGGAAGGUCUAAGCGGGGCCGAGUUGGUGGCCGCCUUCAUGGAGCGCCGGAUAUCUCCUCUCCAAAGCCGGCCCCACAUGAUGUGCCAGAUGAACUGCCGGUUCGACCCAUGCCGGCUGAGCACCAGGGAGAUGCCUCAUGCGGAGGUAUCGUACAUGGUAAACUACAUCUCCAAUUGCAAGCUCGCCGAGGACUGGCGAUACGGCAAGGCGCCGUACUCUCGCGCCAACCCUCCGCCUGUGGUAAGUUUUCCUUUUCUUCUUCUUGUUGGUGGCCGGCUUCACGAUGGCCAGCUUCUGAUCAGUCGGUUCUUCUUAGCAGAACCCUCUUCUCCCGCCGACGACCGGGGCAGCGGGGAUAGAACGCCAGUACGCCCCCGACCGCACGGCGGACAACGUUGA
rnacentral:rRNA from 1 species